rnacentral:rRNA from 1 species
UACGUAGGGUGCAAGCGUUUAAUCGGAAUUACUGGGCGUAAAGAGCGUGUAGGCGGCCAGACAGGUCUGCUGUGAAAACUCGAGGCUCAACCUCGAGACGCCGGUGGAAACCGUCUGGCUAGAGUCCGGAAGAGGAGAGUGGAAUUCCUGGUGUAGCGGUGAAAUGCGCAGGAUAUCAGGAAGAACACCCGUGGCUAAGGCGGCUCUCUAGUACGGUACUGACGCUGAGACGCGAAAGCGUGGGGGAGCGAACAGGG